rfam:Ovis aries breed Texel chromosome 11, whole genome shotgun sequence.
AGUUUUGCAGAGUGGCAGUAUCCUAGCCAGUGGGGUUUAUCUGAGGCAGGAUCAUUGCUAACUGACAACUUUCCCAACAGAAAGAGAAAGACAAAUGCUGUAUGGUAUCACUUAUCUGUGGAAUCCAAAUAUGA